UUUUUUUUUUUUUCUGGGGGCAUGGAAGUGUAAAGAACACUUGCAUUGAAUGGUUGUUGGGGAACAACAGUUGAUAUGUAAUGGUAAAUUGCUUUCUGCAAACUACUGGUGCAUUGUGUUCAGUUGAGCCUUACCCAGCCUGCGGAUCUCUGCUCCCCCAGGGAGUUUGUUUAUGGCUUUUUGUGGGGGGGGAAACCCACAGCAAACCCAAACAACAAAGUAACUGUGAUGUGAAAUGGCGUACAGUGUUAACAACAGUAAGUAUAUUAAGAAUAGAAGCUGCAAUACACUGGUGUAGCAGUGGGGUAUGGUUGAGGCUAUGAAGUGCACACCUGUAUUACACGCAGGACUUGUAAAAAUGUUGACACUGUAAAAGAUAAUCUGAAGUGCUAAAUAACCACACUCAAGCUUUAAAUGUAUGGUGCAGAUUCUUAGUACUUCUCUAAAACUUGCUAAAAGAAGAAAAAAUACCUGGACACUACGAGCUUUUGUGCAUUCAUAUAACUUUGUCUUAACUGAAUUGCAAACAAAGAGUAAAGAAUACUCCACUAGCAGCAAGUAGAUGUCGCUUCUGAGUGAACUACCUGUGUCUUGUUAAGACACGUGGUCUUUGAUUCCUUGGAGGGAAAUGCCCUGCAGAAUUCUGCUUUGUCCAAAAUGCACUAUGCGUCUCUGUUAAUGAUGUUUCUAGAAAUGUCCCACCACAUUAAGGGUGCAUUUAGAAACCCCAGAGUUACAUUUCUGUUCAAGUAGCGCCGUGCUUUCUGACAGCAGCUGGGUACGGAUUACAAGCACAAGUGCUGUGUCCACUCAAAAGGCAGGAAACGGAUCACCUCAAUGGUCUCCCAGUGAAGCAAUGGGCCAUUACGCAGGCCCUCAUUCAACUGUAAUGAACCUAACGGACUAUUUUGUAUUAAAAUAACUGGUCAAAUAAAGAGAUUAAGUUUGCAAAUUCAAUUCCUUCUACUUUAUUUGAAAGUCAAAUUUCUGUUACUGUGCUAUGCAUAGGCCAGUUUUUAGCCUCUGGUUAAAUAUUGCCCUCAGCAAGGCCAGACUGUCCCCUGCCAUGGUCUUCUCUUCCAGCCCCCACCCUGCCCAUGCUUUUUUUCCUCCCCUUCACACCCCCUGAAUCUCCUCCCUAUCAGGAAUUUUAUCGGUUAAGUUCACUGAUGCUCCAGGUGGCUGCUCAGGAUGCUUCACUGCACGGCUGUCCUGUAUAAUCAAUACAAGGGAACUCCAGCAAUGAGCAGUCACUGUGGAAGUAGUAAAUUGUGAUUAGUGUUUAAUUUAAAAAAAAAAAAA
rnacentral:lncRNA from 1 species